GUCGAGCGACUCUAAGCCACGGUAGAGACGCGGCAUACGGCUCAGUAACACGUGGCUAACCUACCUUUCAGGACGGCGACAACCCCGGGAAACUGGGGCUAAUCCCCGAUAGGUGAAGACGCCUGGAAUGACUCUUCACUCAAAGGGUGUUGAGAGCAUGCUUUUCGACGUCGCCUGAAGAUGGGGCCGCGACCGAUCAGGCAGUUGGCGAGGUAAAGGCUCACCAAACCAAUAACCGGUACGGGCCGUGAGAGCGGGAGCCCGGAGAUGGACACUGAGACAAGGGUCCAGGCCCUACGGGGCGCAGCAGUUACGAAAACUCCACAAUGCACGAAGUGCGAUGGGGCUAACCCGAGUGCCGUCCGCUGAGGAUGGCUUUUCUCCGCUGUAAGGAGGCAGAGGAAUAAGGAGAGGGCAAGACUGGUGUCAGCCGCCGCGGUAAUACCAGCUCUCCGAGUGGUAGGGACGAUUAUUGGGCUUAAAGCGUCCGUAGCCGGCUCGGCAAGUCUCUCGUUAAAUCCAGCAACUCAAUUGUUGGACUGCAAGAGAUACUGUCAGGCUAGGAGACGGAAGAGGCCGACGGUAUUCUCGGGGUAGGGGUGAAAUCCUAUAAUCCCGGGAGGACCACCAGUGGCGAAGGCUGUCGGCUAGAACGCGCUCGACGGUGAGGGACGAAAGCUGGGGGAGCGAACCGGAUUAGACACCCGGGUAGUCCCAGCUGUAAACGAUGCGGGCUAGGUGUUGGGGUGGCUACGAGCCACUUCAGUGCCGCAGCGAAGGCAUUAAGCCCGCCGCCUGGGGAGUACAGCCGCAAGGCUGAAACUUAAAGGAAUUGGCGGGGGAGCACCACCAGGGGUGAAGCUUGCGGUUUAAUUGGAGUCAACGCCGGG
rnacentral:rRNA from 1 species